rnacentral:lncRNA from 13 species
GAUUUCCUCCGUUGCCGCCAGGUUUCCUCCUCGAGUGCGCCAGGAGGCGCUCGGUGAGUGGGGGGGUACUGUCAUGUACUGUCAUGUUGUCUUGUCUCUGUCCUUUCCCUUCACCCUGUCUCCCUCUGCUGGUCGUGUUAGGUUACCUUUUCUCCCCCGCUUUCCCCCAGCUGUCCCUUGUCUCCUCUAACUACCCAUUCACCCCGUUCCCCACCUGUUCCCUUUUUCCCUCUGAUUAGGUCCCUAUAUCUCUCUCUGUUUCUGCUCCUGUCCUUGUCGGAUUCUUGUUUGUUUGUGUCAUUCAUGCCUGAACCAGACUGUCGUCAUGUUUGCUGUAACCUUGUCCUGUCCUGUCGGAAUCUGCCGGUCCAUCUGAGCCUACCUAUGUUUGGUAAUUAAAGAAGCUCUGUUUAAGUUGAUUCGCUUUUGGGUCCUCAUUCACGCACCGUAACAUCUUGUGCGCUUCCCUGAUUUUGUAUUUUGUCCAACAAAAAAAAAAGAAUGUUUUUGCUUGUUGUUGUUUUAUACUUUACCUAGUAUGGUGUAGCUUGCUGUCUAAGGAAAUAAGAGAUUACCAUGCUACAACUAACCUUUACAACUCUGUGUUUGCCUUUAUGGUCAUACAUUUGUUGAUCUUAGUUUAAUCAUCGAGAUUUCAGUUGUUUCCUAAAAUGCAUUAAGUGCAUGGACUAUAGGAUAGUAAUUUUUUUGUUGGUUUGAUUGAUUGAAUAUUUUUCUAAACUUGUUGUAAUACUCUUGAAUAGGCCUACACCCUACACUAGAGAAGGGAUGGGGUGAGAGAAGCCUACACCCUACACUAGAGAAGGGAUGGGGUAGGGGUGAGAGAAGCCUACACCCUACACUAGAGAAGGGAUGGGGUAGGGGUGAGAGAAGCCUACACCCUACACUAGAGAAGGGAUGGGGUGAGAGAAGCCUACACCCUACACUAGAGAAGGGAAGGGGUGAGAGAAGCCUACACCCUACACUAGAGAAGGGAUGGUGUAGGGGUGAGAGAAGCCUACACCCUACACUAGAGAAGGGAUGGGGUAGGGGUGAGUGUCAUGGCGUCAGCCCCCCAAACAUAACACUGUCCUAUAAUAUAACCGGAUGAACUCCUUUAUGAAUGUGCUUUGUAAUGGUUGUUUUGAUCAAGUGUCUGGCAAUCCUGUGGUAAGUGAUUCAUUGAUGCUGAAAAGCAAUUAGCAUUGGAAUAAAUACUGGAAUAAAUAAAUACUGGGUGGAUCUUUUGCCUUAUUGCAUCAUAUGAAUGUUGAGAGGGCAACAUUACCAGUGAUGAUUACCCUUUUCAUGACCAUUACCCUUUCUAUGACCAUGACCUGAGUACAUAUUACACCAGCAGUUUAUCUAGAAUCACUGUCUGUAUUCACAAAACCUUUUAGAGUAACAGUGCUGAUCUAUGAUCAGUUGUACGUUUAGAUUUACAUUGAAUAAGAUGACAUGGACAGGAAGGAACCUGUUUCGUGAUCAGCACUCCUACUCAGAAGCUGUGUGAAUGCAGUGGUGAACACGCUGUGUAAUUACAUCAGUCUUGGAGCGAGCUCUUGAGAGGGCAGGAAGGGGGCAGGUUUCGCGCUUCAUGGUUUGUAAAGGGGGAGUUUCCUGAUGUUACGCAAGCCCGGCUAGCUCAGUCGGUAGAGCAUGAGACUCUUAAUCUCAGGGUCGUGGGUUCGAGCCCCACGUUGGGCGCAUAUCUUUUGAAAGAUCGCUUUAAAAACCUUCUCAAUAUAUAAUAUACGAAGUUUGAGCAAAACAUUUGAUAUUCUCUGUACACUUGAAGUCUGGUGCUGUGGGUUUAAUAUAUAGAAAAAGUGCCUGUUCCUCCUGCACAUAAAAUGUAAUGAAUGUAAAUUAAUUUAAAUAAAUGCCCAAAACAUUCUUGUGAACUCAAUGCACUCACAAGGCAUGUUUGCGUU